rnacentral:rRNA from 1 species
AUUGAACGCUGGCGGCAUGCUUUACACAUGCAAGUCGAACGGCAGCGCGGGGGCAACCCUGGCGGCGAGUGGCGAACGGGUGAGUAAUAUAUCGGAACGUACCCAAGAGUGGGGGAUAACGUAGCGAAAGUUACGCUAAUACCGCAUACGAUCUAUGGAUGAAAGCAGGGGACCUUCGGGCCUUGUGCUCCUGGAGCGGC